AAGAAGCCCACCCUUCACCAAAGCCCACCCUUCACAAACUGAACUCAGAGUUUCACCACACUAAGUACCUGCUUGACCUACAAGCAACAAGAUUACAUGAUGUCCACCCACAGUGCUGAGGGAGAUCUUUAUCUGUUCACUCUGAUUCUGGUAUUUAUCUUCCCCAGAGGCCUAACAGAUACACUAGACUUUGAUCUUUCCAGCUUUGGAGAUGGAAUUCAUGAAGUUGAUGGAAUCUGGAAUCCCCUGGGUGACACACCUCUCUGUGUGUGUCCUUGGGCAAUCUCAAGAGAGUGUUAACUGAAGAAAGAAGACCUGCAUGAAUGGAGGAGCCAUCAUCUCAUGUGAUGGAGGAUCUGAAGCUGAAUGAGAAGAACAGAGGAGAAAGCAAGCUGAAGGCAAAAUUCUUUUUCUUCUGCUUCCUGACUGUACAUACUAUGUAUCCAGUGGCUGUACCUUUCUGUCCUC
rnacentral:lncRNA from 1 species